rnacentral:tRNA from 1 species
GGUGUAGCGCAGUUGGUAGCGCGCCUGCUUUGGGAGCAGGAUGCCGGGGGUUCGAAUCCCUUCACU